GUGGGUAGUUUGACUGGGGCGGUCUCCUCCUAAAGAGUAACGGAGGAGCACGAAGGUUGGCUAAUCCUGGUCGGACAUCAGGAGGUUAGUGCAAUGGCAUAAGCCAGCUUGACUGCGAGCGUGACGGCGCGAGCAGGUGCGAAAGCAGGUCAUAGUGAUCCGGUGGUUCUGAAUGGAAGGGCCAUCGCUCAACGGAUAAAAGGUACUCCGGGGAUAACAGGCUGAUACCGCCCAAGAGUUCAUAUCGACGGCGGUGUUUGGCACCUCGAUGUCGGCUCAUCACAUCCUGGGGCUGAAGUAGGUCCCAAGGGUAUGGCUGUUCGCCAUUUAAAGUGGUACGCGAGCUGGGUUUAGAACGUCGUGAGACAGUUCGGUCCCUAUCUGCCGUGGGCGCUGGAGAACUGAGGGGGGCUGCUCCUAGUACGAGAGGACCGGAGUGGACGCAUCACUGGUGUUCGGGUUGUCAUGCCAAUGGC
rnacentral:rRNA from 1 species